GCUUUCCCUCUCAAGUUUUUUGUGUUUAGAUCUCAAUCGAAAUUGGUAGAAUCGCUCGAUUCGAACUUAGAAAUUUAAGGAUCUGCUGAAAUUUUAUCUGUAAAUUUGAAACUACUGAAAGUGCUGUGAUUAGUGCUUGACAAUGGCUGAGGUUGCUCCAAAUGCUGAGCUAUUGGAAUGGCCAAAGAAGGAUAAGCGCCG
rnacentral:misc_RNA from 1 species